GAUGAGCGCUGGCGGCGUGCCUAAUACAUGCAAGUCGAGCGAACGGACGAGAAGCUUGCUUCUCUGAUGUUAGCGGCGGACGGGUGAGUAACACGUGGAUAACCUACCUAUAAGACUGGGAUAACUUCGGGAAACCGGAGCUAAUACCGGAUGAUAUUUUGAACCGCAUGGUUCAAAAGUGAAAGACGGUCUUGCUGUCACUUAUAGAUGGAUCCGCGCUGCAUUAGCUAGUUGGUAAGGUAACGGCUUACCAAGGCAACGAUGGAUAGCCGACCUGAGAGGGGGAUCGGCCACACUGGAACUGAGACACGGUCCAGACUCCUACGGGAGGCAGCAGUAGGGAAUCUUCCGCAAAGGGCGAAAGCCUGACGGAGCAACGCCGCGUGAGUGAUGAAGGUCUUCGGAUCGUAAAACUCUGUUAUUAGGGAAGAACAUAUGUGUAAGUAACUGUGCACAUCUUGACGGUACCUAAUCAGAAAGCCACGGCUAACUACGUG
rnacentral:rRNA from 1 species